GUGGGUAUAGCUCAGUGGUAGAGCUCAUGCUCAGGGUGCAUGAGGUCCUGGGUUCAAUCCUUAGCAUCUCCA
rnacentral:tRNA from 1 species